rnacentral:rRNA from 1 species
UCCGCGGCUCUCGCAGCCUGACGGGGCCGGAUCCCCUCUGCCUUCGGAAGCUCAGCAGGGUCGGGCCGGUUCCUACCGGGAUGGGAGACCGCCCGGGAAUACCGGGUGCCGGCAGCU